GUUUUAAAAGAAGUUGCUGAGCUGUCUUCCAGAGUGGCUGUGCAAUGGUUUAUUUUUGUUUGUUCUUUUAAAUGGCUUAACAAUCGAAGGAAAGACUCUCCUGCAGGACCUCGGGAUACAGUGCACAUGGAGGGCGAGCCGCUGUAAGGGGGAGGCGGGGAGCGAGUGAGGGGAGCCCCCUCCGAGGGCCGUUCCGAAACCCCGAGAUAGCAGAAACCCUGUUUAAACUCAGUCUUUCCAGCCCCCAACAGAAACUAUUUCUACUGCACUAAUUUUAGUGUUGAGCUAGAGGCUUAAUUUUCUAUCUUAAUGUAAAUCCUUAAUUUAAAUUCUGUUUUGAGCUGGCCUAAUCUUUCAGGCCCUGCACCCAGCUCAUCUGUGUGGAGAGAGAGAUUAUGUGUCUGCUGAAGAGCCCCCAGCCUGGUGGUCAGGGCCUCCUGGUGGAGGCGUCCAUCCAAGGGCUUUCCCUUUGUUCUCUUCCUUCACUAAGUUGUGCGUGCGUGUGUGUGUGUGCACACGCCUCUAUGAGUGUGCUGGAAACUGGGCAUGAGCAACAAAUGGGUAUGGCUGGGGGGAGGGGUGCAGAGCAGAGGCAGCGCAGCCAGGAAUCUACACUCAAACUAUCAAGAGGAAGGAAGUAGCAGCGAAAAUAGCCUGGGUGCGGUGGUAGGAAAUAUUAAGGGGAAAAACGAGAUGCCUGGCGUCGGGGUGAAGAAGAGCUCCUAAAAACGCGGGCAUGUGUGGGGAAGGAAUUGUGUGUUGUUGAAACUUCAAAUCCAGAAUGUGAGCAGUGGGCAGGCCGCGCUGGAGGAAGCCGAUCAAGGCGGGCUUCUCUACCUCCCAAAUAACGUGUCCCCACUUGGAGAAUGAAACCCUGUUGGGCAAGUAAGUCCCCCUUGCCCAGCCUUGGGUCAGCCUCACUGAGGGACUGGCCAGGAGCUGGCGAGAUGAGGCCCUCCCCUCAGCCAGGAAGAGCUGGUGCUGGGGUGGGGGAGGGACGAGGGCAGAAUCCUGUAAACGGAAUUCAUCCCUGGGGCCUCAGGCUUUCGUGCUUGAGCUGUAAGCCUGAGUGUUAAGCCUGAAUUGACAUUGCACUGACUGGUCCUCC
rnacentral:lncRNA from 1 species